rnacentral:rRNA from 1 species
AUGGCAUCAGUUGUGGACAACAGCCAGCGUGAGAUGGAGAUCAAAGCCUUCCACGAGAGCAAAGCCGGCGUCAAAGGCCUCGUCGACGCCGCUGUCACCAAGCUUCCCUCCAUGUUCAUACAUCCUCCAGAGGAUCUUCUCAGCUCUUCCCUCCCUGAGGAAGAAGACGACGAGCAUCUUCACAAGAUUCGCAGCCUUCAAUUCCCCGUGAUUGAUCUCACCGGGUUUGAUUCCCCGGAGUGCCGAAAGGGGGUCGUGGAGGAGAUAAGGAGCACGGCAGAGUCAUGGGGCUUCUUUCAGCUGGUGAAUCAUGGGAUUCCUCUCGAUGUCAUGGAGGGAAUCUAG